rnacentral:rRNA from 1 species
AUGACUGCUUUCAUCAACGGAUGUGAUGCUUCUGUUCUCCUGGACGCAACUCCCUUCUCCCCCAGCGAGAAGGAUGUAGAGCCGAACGCCUCCCUCACCGGCUACACCGUCAUCGACGACAUCAAGUCCGCGCUCGAGCACGACUGCCCGGCAACCGUCUCCUGCGCUGAUGUUAUCGCCCUGGCGUCCCGCGACACCGUCGCCCUGCUCGGAGGUCCCACCUGGAGUGUCCCCCUCGGCCGCAAGGACUCACGCUUCGCCGCCGACCCGGAAUCCACCAAGAAGGGCCUCCCGAGCCCGCACGACAACCUCGGCGAGCUCCUCACCAUGUUUUCAAGACUCAACCUCGACGCGCGUGACAUGACAGCGCUCUCUGGUGCCCACACCAUCGGGAUGGCCAACUGCAUGCACUACAGCGACCGCGUCUACGGCACCGACCGCGAUGAGGAGAUCAACCCAUCCUUCGCACAGACCAUGCAGCAGACGUGCCAGGGUCCUUCUGGUAAGGCGCCGUUUGACGUGCAGACUCCGAUGAGGUUCGACAACGCUUACUACCGCAACCUUAUCGCACGGCGCGGUCUCCUCACCUCCGACCAGACUCUCUACGGCGGUGGAGGUCUGCAUGACAAUCUCGUGGAGAUGUACAGCGCCGACGGUGAGGCGUUCGCGAGGGACUUCGCCAAGGCCAUGGUGAAGAUGGGAAACGUACCUCCGCCCAUGGGAAUGCCAGUGGAGAAGGUGGUCGUGACACUUUGGAUGAUUGCAUACGGCACUCUUGCAGAUAUGACACAUGGAUAUUUUCGAAAGAUACAACCAUAA